rnacentral:rRNA from 1 species
GACGGAGCGCGCGGGCGUUAUUCGUUAUGAUUGGGUGUAAAGGGUACGUAGGCAGCCGACUUAAAUUUUUUGCCAAAAACGCAGAGUGUUCCUAUGCGCGGGCAUCUUAUAGUGUCGGCUUGAGUUGUUAAUAGGUUUGGACAAUUUCUCGUGUAGGGGUAAAAUCCUACCAUAUGAGAACGAAUGCCAGCUGGCGAAGGCGCCUUUCUAGUCUCAACUGACGCUAAGGUACGGAAGCCUGGGGAGCAAACAGA